CAGUAGCCGCGGGAAUACGGAGGGAGCUAGCGUUGUUCGGAAUUACUGGGCGUAAAGCGCACGUAGGCGGUUAUUCAAGUCAGAGGUGAAAGCCCGGGGCUCAACCCCGGAACUGCCUUUGAAACUAGAUGACUAGAAUCUUGGAGAGGUCAGUGGAAUUCCGAGUGUAGAGGUGAAAUUCGUAGAUAUUCGGAAGAACACCAGUGGCGAAGGCGACUGACUGGACAAGUAUUGAUGCUGAGGUGCGAAAGCGUGGGGAGCGAACAGGAUUAGAUACCCCAGUAGUCCCUGUCUCUUAUAA
rnacentral:rRNA from 1 species